rnacentral:ncRNA from 2 species
GGGGAAGCCGGUGGGAAUCCGGCGCUGACCUGCAACCGUGUGCGGCCCCCGGGCCGCGAGUCGGACAGCCC